rnacentral:rRNA from 1 species
GUAGGAUAGAGGCCUACCAUGGUGGUAACGGGUAANGGGGUGUUAGGGCACGACACCGGAGAGGGAGCCUGAGAAACGGCUACCACAUCCAAGGAUGGCAGCAGGCGCGCAAAUUACCCAAUCCCGACACGGGGAGGUAGUGACAAUAAAUAACAAUACGGGGUUCUUUCGGAUCUCGUAAUUGGAAUGAGUACAAUUUAAAUCUCUUAACGAGGAACAAUUGGAGGGCAAGUCUGGUGCCAGCAGCCGCGGUAAUUCCAGCUCCAAUAGCGUAUAUUAAAGUUGUUGCAGUUAAAAAGCUCGUAGUUGAAUUUCGGGAUCAGAUUGUCGGUCGUGCCUCGGUACGCACUGGCAUUAUUGGUUCCUACCUUCUGAAGAACCGCGAUGUCAUUAAUUUGGUGUCGCGGGGAAUCAGGACUGUUACUUUGAAAAAAUUAGAGUGUUUAAAGCAGGCGCACGCUUGAAUACAUUAGCAUGGAAUAAUGAAAUAGGACGUUUGAUUCUAUUUUGUUGGUUUCUAGAAUCGACGUAAUGAUUAAUAGGGAUAGUUGGGGGCAUUAGUAUUCAAUUGUCAGAGGCGAAAUUCUUGGAUUUAUUGAAGACUAACUACUGCGAAAGCAUUUGCCAAGGAUGUUUUCAUUAAUCAAGAACGAAAGUUAGGGGAUCGAAGACGAUCAGAUACCGUCGUAGUCUUAACCAUAAACUAUGCCGACUAGGAAUCAGACGAUGUUAAUUUUUUAAUGACUCGUUUGGCACCUUACGGGAAACCAAAGUGUUUGGGUUC